ensembl:lncRNA
CUGGGAUGAGGAUGCCAAUGGAAGAUGUUCGAUAAGUCUUAUACAAUAUAUAGAUUUAUGAUAAUUAAGACUGAGGUAGCAGAUAUGAAAUCCUAAUCAUUGGCCAAGCAGCAUUUGCACCUAAUAUAAGUCUCUGUAUAUUAUUUUAGCCAUCCACGUGGCUGGCAGAACUCAAGCGGGUGGCAGAAAGAUUUAUCCUAACAUAUAUGGUUGCAUCUUCAUCAUUGCACGUGGGGAUGGGGGGAGCAAACAAAACUCUUCACUGAUAAUAUGUAUUUAUUAUGUAUAUAGUGUUCUGCCUGCAUAUAUCCUUGCACACCAGAAGAGAGCACAAGCUCUCAUUACAGAUGGUUGUGAGCCACCAUGUGAUUGCUGGGAAUUGAACUCAGUACCUCUGGAAGAGCAGCCAAUGCUCUUAACCUCUGAGCCAUCUCUCCAACCCCCACAUUUUCUUCAAUGCAUGAAUCAGGGGACAGAUGAACCCAGAGAAGAAAAAGACCCUGGAGAGAAGCCCAUUGUUAGGAUCAAUACUUCAUUGUUUCAGUGCCUUUGGUUGCUCACUAGUGCAACCAAAAUAUGCAGGGCACAUACUUUUCCCUCAAAGCACAGUGACUGCUGGAUUCAGCUUCCUUCUGGGCAGCUGUUCUCCCAGUGACUGACCUUACCAGGUGCCUUAGAAAAGCAUCUACUCUGAAGUAUCUGCUCGAGAUCUGAAGUGCAGCAGUGUCCAAUACACCCUGGCACUUCUAUCAAUGAUGGAUACCUGCAUCCAGUGACAUCAUAGAGCUGAACAUGUGGUAGAAUGGCUUGCAUGGGGUUCAGAAAAUAGUGCGGAAGUGGAAAACCUACUUUGAUCUCAUCAUUGAAGAGGUGCAGCAGGUGGAGUUUUCUUUUGUCAUCAGCUACAUGGUUUGUAGUAGGUCUUGAAGCCCAUCUUAUGGAGGACUUCUUUGUCACAAAGUAAUUAAGGAAGAAAAUUGAUGCUUAAAAUUCAUUUGCUAUAUUUAGUUUAUUUUCUGAUUUCAUGAAUAACAACAACAGUAAUAAUAAUUCUUGUUUGAGUAUGAUAUAUAACAUAUAUAUGUGUAUGUUUUUAUCUGAUGCUCCUGGCUUAUAAUUACCUCCCCAAAGCAUGCUACAAACUGUAGAAUUUCUCUUAUACAAGGUGAGUCAUAUGAUCUCUAAUACUUUUGGUAUGGUCUGCCAGAAAGAAAUUCUCUGACCUACCUUAUCAUAAGAUUCCCAUUUCAGUAAGAGUUAUGCCCCACAUUACAGAGGAAAGAACAUUUGCAUAGAAUGGUCAGGAAAAAUCUGGACAGGCCUUGUUGUGUUUUGCAAACCAGUCUGUUAGCAUAGAUCAUAUUAUUUGUUCAGUCACAUUGCUACAUGAUUAUCUAUCUUUCAAUUAUGCCUAUGAAAGUCUUUGCAAAAAUAUGAAAGGAGCCAGGCGUUGGUGGUGCUCGCCUUUAACCCCAGCACUCAGGAGCCAGAGACAGGCGGAUUUCUGUGAGUUCGAGACCAGCCUGGUCUACAAGAGUGAGUGCCAGGACAGCCUCCAAAGCCACAGAGAAACCCUGUCUCCAAAAACCAAAAAAAAAAAAAAAAAGAGAAAGGAAUUAUUUAGAAAUACACUGUAUUGCUCAAUACAUGUAAUUCCUGUAGGUGGCACCUAGAGAAGGCACAGAUAUACUGGAUCCCUUCCUCCAUAGCUUGCUAUAUAUCUCUUUGCUGUGUCCUUCAUAUUAUCAUUUAAUAUAAACUGAUUAAAAAUGUUUCCUUGAGUUUUGGAAGCUGCCCAAGCAAGUUAGUCAAACCUGAAGAGUUGAUUGUGAUAGAAGUACAAAACAAAAUAGUCUAGUGCUUGUGAGUAGCAUUUAAAAUGGGGCACAAGCAUCUCCGAGACUGAGAGUUCAUUCUGUAGUAGUGUGAAAAUUAAAUUGAACUACAGGGCACUCAGCCAAUGUCCUUUAUUGCAAGUUUAUAAUUAAUAUUGAAAUUCAAGAAUGUUUUCAUAGUGCAGGUCCCUUUUUAUUUCCAUAUGCUCUUUGGAAUAGACCUUCCAAUUUCUUCUUUAAAAGUAUAUUCUGAGACCAGGCAUCGUGGCACAUGCCUUUAACCCCAGUACUCAGGAGGUAGAGGCAGAUGGAUCUCUGAGUUUGAGGCCAGUCUGGUCUGUAUAGUGAGUUCCAGGACAGCCAGGGAUACAUAUUGAGACUGUGUUUCACAAAACAAACAAAAAGUAUAAUGUGGAACUUUUUAAAAAUCAGAGUUGCACUGACUCUGUAGAUCAAUUUAAGGAUAAUAGACAAUGCUAUUUAAUGCUCUGAGUUGUGGUGACAGUAUUCGUUUUCAAGUUCUUUCAGAAGUAUUUUAGUGUUCAUUGUACAAGCUCUGCACAUAUGUGGACAGCUUCUUCCCGUAUAUUUCUUGUUCUGAUGCUGCGAUGAACGGCAGGACUUUUGUGCAUAUACAAAAAGUAUUUUAUAUCCUUCCUUACUACACUAAGAGACUUGUAUGGUGAUUAUUUCCUUGUAACUCUGCUAAAAUAUACAUUUGACAAAAAAGCUUUCUCCAUCUAAGAGAAGUAUUUGCGUAUUACACAGAAUACUGAGUACUAAGACUCAGGUCUUUUGCUUGUUUGCUUGUUUUUGUGACAGGUUUUCUCUGUGUAGCACCAGCUGUGCUGGAACUAGCUCUUGCAGACCAGGCUGGUCUCAAACUCACACACAUCUGCCUGCCUCUGUCUCCUAAGUGCUGGGAUUAAAGGCGUGUGCCAUGCCCAGCAAGUCUCAGGUAUUAAUGGAACUGCUUUAGUUGUAUAGUUCCCUUCUCAGUGAGACAUUCCUUUAAAACAUAUGGUAUUAAUUGAGACACAAAUGUUUUACAUUUAAACCGUGAUGGUAGAAUGUCACCUAAAUUGUAUAGUGCUUUGAAAAGAACAAGCUAUUCUUUUAGAAAGUAUAGAGCUAAUAAAAUAUCUUUUGCAUAUUCACAUCUGCACCAUGCACAGUUUCGAAUGUAGGAAGCCUUCUACAAUAAUCAAAAAUUAUGUUCUAUACAUAUAGAAAAUUUAGCUCUCUAUAGGACUUCAAGCACAUAUUAUCUGAGGAUUAUCCAAUAAACCACGAAUAUUGUAUUAAUUCCGUGAAAUACAGCAAAUAUAUAGUUGUGGUACACCCCAAGAAGAUUUUAUUUAAAGUAUACUUUAUUUAAAGUAUACAGGCAAAAUACUCUGGGCAAAAGUAAAUGGAUAACCCUUUCAAUAUGAUAUACUACAACCACACAUGAGAAAAACUUUCAAGAACUUUAUUAUUUAGAAUAAACAUUUAAGAUCCCCAUUAUCUACC